rnacentral:rRNA from 1 species
GGGUUGUGAGGUUAAGCGACUAAGCGUACACGGUGGAUGCCCUGGCAGUCAGAGGCGAUGAAGGACGUGCUAAUCUGCGAUAAGCGUCGGUAAGGUGAUAUGAACCGUUAUAACCGGCGAUUUCCGAAUGGGGAAACCCAGUGUGUUUCGACACACUAUCAUUAACUGAAUCCAUAGGUUAAUGAGGCGAACCGGGGGAACUGAAACAUCUAAGUACCCCGAGGAAAAGAAAUCAACCGAGAUUCCCCCAGUAGCGGCGAGCGAACGGGGAGCAGCCCAGAGCCUGAAUCAGUGUGUGUGUUAGUGGAAGCGUCUGGAAAGGCGCGCGAUACAGGGUGACAGCCCCGUACACAAAAAUGCACAUGCUGUGAGCUCGAUGAGUAGGGCGGGACACGUGGUAUCCUGUCUGAAUAUGGGGGGACCAUCCUCCAAGGCUAAAUACUCCUGACUGACCGAUAGUGAACCAGUACCGUGAGGGAAAGGCGAAAAGAACCCCGGCGAGGGGAGUGAAAAAGAACCUGAAACCGUGUACGUACAAGCAGUGGGAGCACGCUUAGGCGUGUGACUGCGUACCUUUUGUAUAAUGGGUCAGCGACUUAUAUUCUGUAGCAAGGUUAACCGAAUAGGGGAGCCGAAGGGAAACCGAGUCUUAACUGGGCGUUAAGUUGCAGGGUAUAGACCCGAAACCCGGUGAUCUAGCCAUGGGCAGGUUGAAGGUUGGGUAACACUAACUGGAGGACCGAACCGACUAAUGUUGAAAAAUUAGCGGAUGACUUGUGGCUGGGGGUGAAAGGCCAAUCAAACCGGGAGAUAGCUGGUUCUCCCCGAAAGCUAUUUAGGUAGCGCCUCGUGAAUUCAUCUCCGGGGGUAGAGCACUGUUUCGGCAAGGGGGUCAUCCCGACUUACCAACCCGAUGCAAACUGCGAAUACCGGAGAAUGUUAUCACGGGAGACACACGGCGGGUGCUAACGUCCGUCGUGAAGAGGGAAACAACCCAGACCGCCAGCUAAGGUCCCAAAGUCAUGGUUAAGUGGGAAACGAUGUGGGAAGGCCCAGACAGCCAGGAUGUUGGCUUAGAAGCAGCCAUCAUUUAAAGAAAGCGUAAUAGCUCACUGGUCGAGUCGGCCUGCGCGGAAGAUGUAACGGGGCUAAACCAUGCACCGAAGCUGCGGCAGCGACGCUGAUGCGUUGUUGGGUAGGGGAGCGUUCUGUAAGCCUGCGAAGGUGUGCUGUGAGGCAUGCUGGAGGUAUCAGAAGUGCGAAUGCUGACAUAAGUAACGAUAAAGCGGGUGAAAAGCCCGCUCGCCGGAAGACCAAGGGUUCCUGUCCAACGUUAAUCGGGGCAGGGUGAGUCGACCCCUAAGGCGAGGCCGAAAGGCGUAGUCGAUGGGAAACAGGUUAAUAUUCCUGUACUUGGUGUUACUGCGAAGGGGGGACGGAGAAGGCUAUGUUGGCCGGGCGACGGUUGUCCCGGUUUAAGCGUGUAGGCUGGUUUUCCAGGCAAAUCCGGAAAAUCAAGGCUGAGGCGUGAUGACGAGGCACUACGGUGCUGAAGCAACAAAUGCCCUGCUUCCAGGAAAAGCCUCUAAGCAUCAGGUAACAUCAAAUCGUACCCCAAACCGACACAGGUGGUCAGGUAGAGAAUACCAAGGCGCUUGAGAGAACUCGGGUGAAGGAACUAGGCAAAAUGGUGCCGUAACUUCGGGAGAAGGCACGCUGAUAUGUAGGUGAAGUCCCUCGCGGAUGGAGCUGAAAUCAGUCGAAGAUACCAGCUGGCUGCAACUGUUUAUUAAAAACACAGCACUGUGCAAACACGAAAGUGGACGUAUACGGUGUGACGCCUGCCCGGUGCCGGAAGGUUAAUUGAUGGGGUCAGCGCAAGCGAAGCUCUUGAUCGAAGCCCCGGUAAACGGCGGCCGUAACUAUAACGGUCCUAAGGUAGCGAAAUUCCUUGUCGGGUAAGUUCCGACCUGCACGAAUGGCGUAAUGAUGGCCAGGCUGUCUCCACCCGAGACUCAGUGAAAUUGAACUCGCUGUGAAGAUGCAGUGUACCCGCGGCAAGACGGAAAGACCCCGUGAACCUUUACUAUAGCUUGACACUGAACAUUGAGCCUUGAUGUGUAGGAUAGGUGGGAGGCUUUGAAGUGUGGACGCCAGUCUGCAUGGAGCCGACCUUGAAAUACCACCCUUUAAUGUUUGAUGUUCUAACGUUGACCCGUAAUCCGGGUUGCGGACAGUGUCUGGUGGGUAGUUUGACUGGGGCGGUCUCCUCCUAAAGAGUAACGGAGGAGCACGAAGGUUGGCUAAUCCUGGUCGGACAUCAGGAGGUUAGUGCAAUGGCAUAAGCCAGCUUGACUGCGAGCGUGACGGCGCGAGCAGGUGCGAAAGCAGGUCAUAGUGAUCCGGUGGUUCUGAAUGGAAGGGCCAUCGCUCAACGGAUAAAAGGUACUCCGGGGAUAACAGGCUGAUACCGCCCAAGAGUUCAUAUCGACGGCGGUGUUUGGCACCUCGAUGUCGGCUCAUCACAUCCUGGGGCUGAAGUAGGUCCCAAGGGUAUGGCUGUUCGCCAUUUAAAGUGGUACGCGAGCUGGGUUUAGAACGUCGUGAGACAGUUCGGUCCCUAUCUGCCGUGGGCGCUGGAGAACUGAGGGGGGCUGCUCCUAGUACGAGAGGACCGGAGUGGACGCAUCACUGGUGUUCGGGUUGUCAUGCCAAUGGCACUGCCCGGUAGCUAAAUGCGGAAGAGAUAAGUGCUGAAAGCAUCUAAGCACGAAACUUGCCCCGAGAUGAGUUCUCCCUGACUCCUUGAGAGUCCUGAAGGAACGUUGAAGACGACGACGUUGAUAGGCCGGGUGUGUAAGCGCAGCGAUGCGUUGAGCUAACCGGUACUAAUGAACCGUGAGGCUUAACCUUACAACGCCGAAGGUGUUU